rnacentral:rRNA from 1 species
UGAACGUUGGCGGCGUGGAUUAGGCAUGCAAGUCGAGCGAGAAACCAAUUAGCUUGCUAAGAGGUGGACAGCGGCGAAAGGGAGAGUAACGCGUGGUUACGUGCCCUCGGGACCGGGAUAGUGUUGGGAAACUGGCAGUAAUACCGGAUAACAUCUAUGGAUCAAAUGGUGAGAUUCCGCCCGAGGAUCGGACCGCGUACUAUUAGCUUGUUGGCGGGGUAAUGGCCCACCAAGGCUGCGAUGGUUACCGGGUGUGAGAGCAUGGCCCGGCUCACUGGGACUGAGACACUGCCCAGACAUCUACGGAUGGCUGCAGUCGAGAAUCUUCGGCAAUGGACGAAAGUCUGACCGAGCGACGCCGCGUGCGGGAUGAAGGCCCUCGGGUUGUAAACCGCUGUCAGUUGGGAGGAAAUUCAUGGGGGUUCUCCCCUGUGAUUGACCGAGCUUCAGAGGAAGGACGGGCUAAGUUCGUGCCAGCCGCCGCGGUA